rnacentral:rRNA from 1 species
CCAGACUCCUACGGGAGGCAGCAGUGGGGGAUAUUGCACAAUGGGGGAAACCCUGAUGCAGCGACGCCGCGUGGGCGAAGAAGUAUUUCGGUAUGUAAAGCCCUAUCAGCAGGGAAGAAGAAAUGACGGUACCUGAGUAAGAAGCACCGGCUAAAUACGUGCCAGCAGCCGCGGUAAUACGUAUGGUGCAAGCGUUAUCCGGAUUUACUGGGUGUAAAGGGAGCGUAGACGGCAAUGCAAGCCAGAUGUGAAAGCCCGGGGCUCAACCCCGGGACUGCAUUUGGAACUGUGUAGCUGGAGUGUCGGAGAGGCAGGCGGAAUUCCUAGUGUAGCGGUGAAAUGCGUAGAUAUUAGGAGGAACACCAGUGGCGAAGGCGGCCUGCUGGACAGCAACUGACGCUGAGGCGCGAAAGCGUGGGGAGCAAACAGGAUUAGAUACCCUGGUAC